CGACACGGCGGCUUCUGGCAAGAAUAGCGAUUAAUUCAACGGUAUAAACAGGAACGUACGUACGACGUGUGUAAGAAGAAAUCAACCGACAUUCGAUUUAACGUAAACUCGUUAUAAGUACGCGAGCGAUUGCGCAAUCGUAAAGGAAUAAAAUCGAUAUUUCGCAUCUAUCGAUUAGAUUUAAUAUCGUUAAAGAAACAGUCCACCGGGAUGUAGAUCCUUUCUAGAAUUAAUUUGCAAUUAUUUUCGUAUUAUUUUAAUAAGAUAUUUAUUUUAUUCAUUGCAUGGUAAAAGAAGAGGAAGAAAUAUUCUUAAUUAUAAAUAUUCUUACAAUUUUCAUUUUCCUUUACGUAAGAUUGAUGCAUACUUAACCUUAAUACGUGGAAAAAUAUCAAAGUAUAUAAUUAUAGGGAUUAAAUUUCUUUCGUUUUUAUCAAUUAUCAAUUCAUUACCAUAAACUGCUCAGCAUAUUCCAUGGGAUACACAAACAUGUUGAAGUCGUCUUAAACAAAGAAGAAUCGAGCACAUAAAGGAAAUUAAGAAAUUGAGAAGAUUGACGAUCACAAAGAAGAAAUUACAACAACUAUAAUUCAGGAAUUAAAUUUAUAUAUAAAGAAAUGAAGUAUCGUAUCGUGAGUGAUGAAUAAUUGUGAAUGUGAAUUGUGAUUGUGAAAAGGAAUGAUUUCUUUCAUUGAUACAGAAAUUAAAGAAAUAGAUAAGCAAUUUACUACGAUGACAAAAUUUAAGAAGAAAAUUUAAACGAGAAUUAUAAUGCUUUUGAUAUUAGCAGAUUGAAAAGGGAAAAUGUAAGAAAUAAUUAAAACAAAAGGCAGAAGCUUUACGUCAAUGUAAGAAAAAGCUGAAAGUGACAAAGUAUUGUUGAUUAAACUCGACCCAGUAAUACUACAUAAUGUAUGGACAGCCAAAAACUAGUAAGAUGCUAUCUUUAAAUCAGAUAAGACAGUGAUGAUUAUAUAGAACCAGAAAUGAAGUAUUGUAAUUACGAAUGUGAAGUACGACUGUGAAAGGGAGUGAUUUGUUCUAUUGAUAUAGAUAUCAAAGAAAUAGAUAAGCAAUUUACUUCAAUAACAGAAUAUGAAGGAGUAAACUUAAAUUAAAAUCAAAAUGCUUUCGAUACUAGCAGAUUGAAAACAGAUAACGCAAGAAAUGAAACAGAAGACAGAAGGUUUACGUCAUGCAAGAAGGAGCUGUAGGUGACAAAGCCUUGUUGAUUGAAACCGGCCAAAUAAUAUCACGUAAACUAUAGACAAUCCAGUUAUACGAAAACAAUUAAGAUGCUAUCUUUGAUUAUAUAAAAAAGCUGUUAUGACGCAGAUACAGAAAUAAAGGAUUGCAAUAGUGAAUGUGAAGUGAGACUGUGAAUGGUAGCUAUUUUCUAUUAACGGAGAUACUGAAGAAAGAUAAGCAACUUACUUCGAUGAUAUAAUUUGAAACGGGAAAAUAUAAAGGAGGUUGGGAAUGCUAUUGAUACUAGCAGAUUGAAAACAGAAGAUGCAAGUACCAAAACAAAAGACGAAAGCUUUACGUCAAUGCAAGAAAGGGCUGAAGGUGACAAAGCCUUGUUGAUUAAAACCGACCAAGUAAUGUGACGUAAACUAUGGACAUUGCAGAUAUGCGAAAACUAGUAAGAUGCUGUUUUUGAAUUAUAUAAAAAAGUGGUAAUUACGUUGAAACAGAAAAAAAGUAUUAUGAUACUGAAUAAGAAGUAUGACUGUGAAAGGGAGUGAUUUGUUCUUUUAACAUAGACAUUGAAGAAACAGAUACGAAAUGUACCUCAAUGACAGAAUUUGAAAGGGAAAAUUUAGACGAGAACGGGAAUGCUUUUGAUACUAGCAGAUUGGAAACAAAAAAUGCAAGAACCAAAACAAAAGACAGAAGGUUUACGUCAAUGCAAGAAGGAACUGUAGGUGACAAAGCCUUGUUGAUUAAAACCGACCAAAUAAUAUUACGUAAACUAUGGACAGCCUAGUUAUGCGAAAACGAGCAAGAUACUGUUUCUGAAUUAGGUAAGAAAGUGGUGAUUACGUGGAAACAGAAACAACAUACUACAGAAAUGAUUACAUAAUACGUAGGAAUUAAAUUUAUGUAUAAAGACAUGAAAUAUUGUAAUUAUGAAUGUGAAGUGUGACUGUGAAAGGGCGUGAUUUGUUCUAUUAACAUAGAUAUGGAAGAAAUAGAUAAGCAAUUUACUUCAAUGCCAGAUGUUGAAGGAGAAGAACUAAACAAGAUUCAUAAUACUUUUGAUACUGGCAGAUGGAAAACGGAACGCAACAACCAAAACAAAAGAUAGAAGCCUUACGUCAAUGUAAGAAACAGCUGAAGGUGACAAAGCCAAGUUGAUUAAACUCGACCAAGUAAUAUUACGUAAACUAUGGACACCCCAGUUAUACGAAAGCUGGUAACAUGGUAGCUUUGAAUUAAGUAGGAAGGUGGUGAUUACGUAGAAACAGAAAUGACGUAUUACAGAGUUGAUUGCGUAAUAUUCAGGAAUUCAAUUUAUAUAUAAAGAAAUGAAAUAUUGUAAUUGCGAGAGUGAAGUGUGACUGUGAGAGGGAAUGAUUUGUUCUAUUAACGUGGAUAUUGAAGAAAUAGAUAAGCAAUUUACUUCAAUAACAGAAUUUGAAGGAGCAGAUUUAAACGAGAAUGGGUAUGCUUUUGAUAUUUGCAGGUUGCAAACAGAUACCGCAAGAACCAAAACAAAAGACAGAAGCUUACGUCAGUGCAAGAAAGCACUGGAGGUGACAAAGCCUUGUUGAUUAAACUCAACCAAGUAAUGUUACGUAAACUAUGGACAUUGCAGAUAUGCGAAAACUAGUAAGAUACUAUCUUUGAAUUAGAUAAAAAAAUGGUAAUUACAUAAAAACAGAAUUGAAGUAUUGUAAUUAUGAAUGUGAAGUGUAACUGUAAAAGGGAGUGAUUUGUUCUAUUCACAUAGAAAUCGAAGAAAGAGAUAAGCAAUUUAAAUCAAUGACAGAAUUUGAAGAGGAGAAUUUAAACGAGAAUGGGUAUGCUUUCGAUACUAGCAGAUUGAAAACAGAUAACGCAAGGACCAGAACAAAUGAUAGAAGCCUUAUACACUGUAAGAAAGAAUUGAAGGUGGCAAACCCUUGUUGAUUAAACCCGACCAAGUAAUAUUACGUAAACUAUGGAUACCCUUCGUAUUACGAAAACAAGUAUGAGGCUGUCUUCGAAUUAGAUAAGAAGGUGGUGAUUACGUAGAACCAGAAAUGACGUACUACAGAAGGGAUUACGUAACAUCCAGAUAUUGAAGAAAUAGAUAAGCAAUUUACCUCAAUGAUAGAAUUUGAAGGGAAGAAUUUAAACGAGAAUGGGAAUACUUUUCAUACUAGCAGAUUAAGAACAAGUAAUGCAAAAACCAAAACAAAAGACAGAAGCUUUACGUCAAUAUAAGAAAGAGCUGAAGAUGACAAAGCCUUGUUAAUCAAACUCAAGUAAGUAAUAUUACGUGAAUUAUGGAUAGCCAAGUUAUGCGUAAAUGCGUAAGAUGCUGUCUUAAUUGGAUAAGAAAGUAUUGAUUACGUAGAAACAGAACUGAAGUAUUGUAAUUGUGAAUGUGAAGUGUGACUGUGGAACGGAGAGUGACUUGUUCUAUUAACAUAGAUAUUGAAGAGACAGAUAACCAAUUUACUGCAAUGACAUAAUUUGAAAGAGAAAACUUUAACGAGAAUCAUAAUGCUUUUGAUACUGGCAGAUUGAAAACAGAUAACGCAAGAACCAAAACAAAAGACAGAGCUUUAGGUCAAUGUAAGAAAGAGCUGAAGAUGACAAAGCCUUGUUAAUCAAACUCAAGUAAGUAAUAUUACGUGAAUUAUGGACAGCCAAGUUAUGCGUAAAUGUGUAAGAUGCUGUCUUAAUUGGAUAAGAAAGUAUUGAUUACGUAGAAACAGAACUGAAGUAUUGUAAUUGUGAAUUUGAAGUGUGACUAUGAAACGGAUAGUGAUUUGUUCUAUUAACAUAGAUAUUGAAGAGACAGAUAACCAAUUUACUGCAAUGACAUAAUUUGAAAGAGAAAACAAACAAGAAUCAUAAUGCUUUUGAUACUGGCAGAUUGAAAACAGAUAAUACAAGAACCAAAACAAAAGACAGAGCUUUAGGUCAAUGUAAGAAAGAGCUGAAGAUGUCAAAGCCUUGUUAAUCAAACUCAAGUAAGUAAUAUUACAUGAAUUAUGGACAGCCAAGUUAUGCGUAAAUGCGUAAGAUGCUGUCUUAAUUGGAUAAGAAAGUAUUGAUUACGUAGAAACAGAACUGAAGUAUUGUAAUUGUGAAUUUGAAGUGUGACUAUGAAACGAAUAGUGAUUUGUUCUAUUAACAUAGAUAUUGAAGAGACAGAUAACCAAUUUACUGCAAUGACAUAAUUUGAAAGAGAAAACUUUAACGAGAAUCAUAAUGCUUUUGAUACUGGCAGAUUGAAAACAGAUAACGCAAGAACCAAAACAAAAGACAGAGCUUUAGGUCAAUGUAAGAAAGAGCUGAAGAUGACAAAGCCUUGUUAAUCAAACUCAAGUAAGUAAUAUUACGUGAAUUAUGGACAGCCAAGUUAUGCGUAAAUGCGUAAGAUGCUGUCUUAAUUGGAUAAGAAAGUAUUGAUUACGUAGAAACAGAACUGAAGUAUUGUAAUUGUGAAUGUGAAGUGUGACUGUGAAACGGAAAGUGACUUGUUCUAUUAACAUAGAUAUUGAAGAGACAGAUAACCAAUUUACUGCAAUGACAUAAUUUGAAAGAGAAAACUUUAACGAGAAUCAUAAUGCUUUUGAUACUGGCAGAUUGAAAACAGAUAACGCAAGAACCAAAACAAAAGACAGAGCUUUAGGUCAAUGUAAGAAAGAGCUGAAGAUGUCAAAGCCUUGUUAAUCAAACUCAAGUAAGUAAUAUUACGUGAAUUAUGGACAGCCAAGUUAUGCGUAAAUGUGUAAGAUGCUGUCUUAAUUGUAUAAGAAAGUGGUGAUUACGUAGAAACAUAAAUGAAGUAUUGAAAUUGUGAAUGUGAAGUGUGACUAUGAAACGGAUAGUGAUUUGUUUUAUUAACAUAGAUAUUGAAGAGACAGAUAACGAAUUUACUACAAUGACAUAAUUUGAAAGAGAAAACUUAAACGAGAGUCAUAAUGCUUUUGAGACUGGCAGAUUGAAAACAGAUAAUGCAAGAACCAAAACAAAAGACAGAGCUUUAGGUCAAUGUAAGAAGGAACUGAAGAUGACAAAGCCUUCUUGAUUAAAUUCGACCAGGUAAUAUUACGUACAUUAUGGACAGUCAAGUUAUGCAAAAAUGCAUAAGAUGCUCUCUUAAUUGUAUAAGAAAGUGGUAAUUACGUAGAAACAGAAAUGAAGUAUUGUAAUUGUGAAGUGUGACUGUGAAACGGAGAGUGAUUUGUUCUAUUAACAUAGAUAUUAAAGAGACAGAUAACCAAUUUACUGCAAUGACAUAAUUUGAAAGAGAAAAUUUUAACGAGAAUCAUAAUGCUUUUGAUACUGGCAAAUUGAAAACAGAUAAUACAAGAACCAAAACAAAAGACAGAAGAUUUACAUCAAUGUGAGAAAGAGCUGAAGAUGAUAAAGUCUUAUUGAUUAAACUUGACCAAGUACUAUUACGUACAUUAUGGGACAGUCAAGUUAUGCGAAAAUGCAUAAGAUGCUGUCUUAAUUGUAUAAGAAAGUGGUGAUUACGUAGAAACAGAAAUGAAGUAUUGUAAUUGUGAAGUGUGACUGUUAAACGGAGAGUGAUUUGUUCUAUUAACAUAGAUAUUGAAGAGACAGAUAACCAAUUUACUGCAAUGACAUAAUUUGAAAGAGAAAAUUUUAACGAGAAUCAUAAUGCUUUUGAUACUGGCAAAUUGAAAACAGAUAAUACAAGAACCAAAACAAAAGACAGAAGAUUCACAUCAAUGUGAGAAAGAGCUGAAGAUGAUAAAGUCUUAUUGAUUAAACUUGACCAAGUACUAUUACGUACAUUAUGGACAGCCAAGUUAUGCGAAAAUGCGUAAGAUGCUGUCUUUUAAUUGGAUAAGAAAGUGGUGAUUAUAUAGAAACAGGAUUGAAGUAUUGUAAUUGUUAAUGUGAAGCGUGACUGUGAAAGGGAAUGAUUUGUUCUAUUAACAUAGGUAUUGAAGGAGAUAUAGAUAAGCAAUUUACUUCAAUGACAAGAUUUGAAGGAGAAAAUUAAACAACAAUCGGAGUGCUUUUGAAAUUAGCAGAUUGAAAACUGAAAACAUAAACAUUAAAACAAAAGAUAGAAGCAUUACGUUGAUGUAAGAAAGGUCUGGAAGAUGACAAAGCCUUAUUGAUUGAACUUAAACAAAUAAUACUGCAUAAACUAUAAAGAGCCAAGUUAUGCGAAAACAAACUGUCUUUGAAUUAGAUAAGAGAAUGGGGAUUACGUAGAAACAGAAUUGAAGUAUUGUAAUUGUGACUGCAAAAGGGAGUGAUUUAUUCUAUUAACAUAGGUAUUUGAAGGAGAAAUAGAUAAGCAAUUUACUUCAAUGACAAGAUUUGAGGGAGAAAAUUAAACGACAAUUGGAGUGCUUUUGAAAUUAGCAGAUUGAAAACUGGAAACGCAAACACCAAAACAAAAGAUAGAAGCAUUACGUCGAUGUAAGAAAGGUCUGGAAGAUGACAAAGCCUUAUUGAUUUUACUUAAACAAAUAAUACUACAUAAACUAUAAAGAGCCAAGUUAUGCGAAAAUACGCUGUCUUUAAAUUAGAUAAGAAAAUGGGGAUUACGUAGAAACAGGAUUGAAGUAUUGUAAUUGUGACUGUGAAAGGGAGUGAUUUAUUCUAUUAGGUAUUGAAGGAGAAACAGAUAAGCAAUUUACUUCAAUGACAAGAUUUGGGGGAGAAAAUUAAACGACAAUCGGAACGCUUAUGGAAUUAGCAGAUUGAAAACUGGAAACGCAAACAUCAAACCAAAAGACAGAGGCAUUACGUCGACGUAGGAAAGGGCUGGAAGAUGACAAAGCCCUGUUGAUUGAACUCAAACAAAUAAUACUAUAUAAACUAUAAACAGCCAACUUAUACGAAAACAAGAUGCUGUCUUUGAGUUAGAUAAGAAAGUGGGGAUUACGCUAGAACAGAAAGGACGUACUACAAAGGGAAGCGAGAAUGAAAAUCCUAUACAACAAGUAUUAAAGUAUUAAACGAGGGUUGCGAAGCCUUCGCGAAACACGAGAAAUGUUCGUAAAACGAUUAAGUACGUUAUGUUGCGAACAAACAUAAGACUUUGCAUUUUGAAUAAGGUAUUAUCAAAUAUAAACAGGUAUUUCACGAUAGUACUUUGGAACAACACGAAAUUUGGAAUAUGAGGAAUUAAUAACGGAAAAUACAUUAUUAAAUAGAUUUAACAAAGAAGAAAACAAUGAAGAUACGCUGUCUGAAUUUAUUAAAUAAUGAAAAUGCCUAAUACACAUUGAUAAUACAUAUAAUAUUAAAUAAUAAUACAAUUAUGAGAUUUAAAGACAAUUAGAACAUUGAUGAUUAAUAAUGAUUCGUUAAAGAAAGAAUUAGCCUACAAAGGAGACUUGGAAAAGAAAAGAAUAAAUUGUGCCAGUAACAAUAGAAAUAACAAGUGAAACUAAAUAAACAACAAUGGGAAAGAAUAAUGACAAAAACGUGUUCGAACGUGUGCGCACACGCUCGAUUGGCGCGAACAUCGCCAACAUAACCCCAAAAAUUAACAUGCUGUUUUCCUUACCAUUGUAGAAGUCAUAAAGGACCAAUCGGCCAAGAAAAAAUUGUCUUUCUGUACGUACAUUUUAAUAGUUUUCUAUCAAUAGAUUAUUAUUCAAGGUUCACAAUUUGCUGCUUUUAUCCCCGAAUUGAAAAUAUUUUACGUCAACGAAAUGUUAUAUUAAAUGACGAUUCGAAUGCUUUAAAAUCAAUGAGAUAUUUCUUAUCUGCAGCAAUAUUCGUUCGAUAUUUACUGCGCAAUUUCGGCACGAUUCAAAAAAGGUUAAAGUAGUUUAUAGUUAUAUCAAGUGACCAAUAAAAGGAGAAAGAAGAAUUAAAGUUUCUUCGACGACUCGUCUUCGUAAAACGAACUUCCUACAGUCAUCGAAAUGAGAUUUAACAGCUUUCCGUAAAGGAUAGGAGAAAAGAAUCGCGUAAAAAGUUCUUCUAAAGAACGACGUGUAAGUGAAAACUUUGGAAAUUUCCGAACUUCUUUUCGAACUUCUCUUUCCGGAACACUUCUUGUUGGAAUGUGCAAAUAUAUAUAUAUAUGUGCGAUAUUAGUAUAUAUGUACGUAUAUAUCUAGAUAUUUAUAUAUGUAUCGAUUAAUUAAUCUAGUGAAAUCUAAAACGAAUGAGAAUAUUAUAUGUUGAGAAGAGACAGCUAAGCGGAAUGUUGAGCACUGCGCGAGAGGAUACCGACAAGAUCGGAAGACGGCACGCAACUAACUGCCGCCGUAGAGCGUCGAACGUGGUUCGCUACUCAUUUAUUGGGCGCAAGAAAGUGGGGAGGAAGUAUUGACCAAUUGCGUUGCAAUAUUUCUACACGUGACAAAUGCAAAGAUAUGUUCAUUUUAAAACGCAAAGGCACCUUGCCGAAGAAUAAAGUUAGAAAUAGAUAAACAAAGAUUUUCUAUAUAUCUCAUAAAAAUCUUAUAUAUAUAAUAUAUAUAUAUAUGUAUACAUAUACAUAACCUAAACUAAAAAUAAGAAAAUAUAUAUAUAAUAUACAUUGUAACAAUAUAUAUAGUAAUAAAUCAAUUGAAAUCG